GCGGAAGUGGGACACUCUCUCCUCUAAGACAAGAAUACACUGGGCAGAGGUGUCAAAAAACAACCACUGCAGGACUCAGGAAGUACAACAGCUGCCAGCGUCAAAUUGAGAAGCGUUUUGCCUCGAGCUGUGGUGUGGGUCCCACAUGCAGCUUGGAUCUGGUGUGGCUGUGGCUGUGGCCAGCAGCUGCAGCUCCGAGGUGACCCCUAGCCUGGGAAUUUCCAGAUGCCGCAGGACCCGGUAAUUCCAUUCCUGGAGAUGUAUUUACCUUAGAGAAAAGAAAACACAAGUGCAGAUGAGAACGAAAACUUCUGUAUGAACAUUGGUAGCAGCUUUAGCCAUCAUAGCCAAAGACUGGAAACAACCCAAGUGUCCAUCCAUAGGUGACUGGAUCGACAAAUUGUGGCAUGGCAAUGCGAUGAACUAUUACUCCCCAGCACAAAGGAACUGCUGAUACACAGCACAGCAUGGAUCGUCUCAGAAACAUGUUGUGUGAAGGAAACUAGUAGCAAAAGUGUGCAUGUUGAAUGAUUCUUCUUAUAUCAAAAUCUGGAAGGCGGAAACCGUGUGGUGACGGGAAGGCCGAUCCGUGGUUGCCUGGGAUUUAGGAGUGAGGAGAUGUUCUUUAUCAUAGCUGUGGUGGUGGUGACACUGGCGUGUAAGUUUUACGUUUAUUGUGUAUAAAUUAUAUCUCCCAAUGAAAUUCAGUUUUGAUGUUUCUUCUUUUUGUCUGUCUUUUUUUUGGGGGGGCCGUACCCAGGGCGUAUGGAAGUUCCUGGGCCAGGGAUUGAAUCCAUGCCAUAGCAGCGACCGAAGCCAUUGCAGUGACAACACCAGAUCCUUAACCCGCUGCGCCGCAGGAGACCUCCAAAAGUCGGUUUUGAAAAAACCUUUCCACUAUUUCAAGAAGGCUACUCAGGAUUCAUUGACUAGAUGGUUCUGCUGCAGGUUGCUUUUUCUCUUUUUCAAAACCUGUUUUGUUCAGGUAUCAGGUUCCCCUUUGUGGUCCUGUUCUUCUAGGAAGAUUGGUCCUAUCCCAAGUUCCUGGUAAUUUUGCUUCAUCUUGAUAAUUUCACUUCUGCAGCUACUUAGCAUGUGUGACCCAGUUCUGGCCAGUGCAGAUGAGCAAAAGUCUGCCAGGGCUUAUAAAAGAUGAAGAAAUGUGAUAGAUCAUAUUUAUUCCUUCCCUAACUCCAUUGAAAUGACAUAAAGGAAUCUUUUUUUAAGUGUAAAUCUAUGAGGAUGAAGAAAAAGGAGGAAGAGAUAGCAGUGGGCCAAAAUUUUACUCACAAAAUUUUGAAAGCCAAAAAGUAGGUGCAUAUGUGAUAAAUAACUUUGGUGUCAACAUUCCUCACUCCUCUUAAGUAUUUACAAUGGAGGAAGCUAAUGAGAAGCAAGCUGAUUUUCAGCCACCAUAAUAAAUUUUAGGUACCUCUGAAUGUGGGAUAUGCAUUUGGUCUAAAACAGAGAUAUUAGUUGAAAGUCUGAAAUAUGACAGUUAGUUCCAGAUCCCCAUCCCACCCAUUCAGGUUACUGCUUCUCCCUCAUUCCUGCCAAAAAUGGGAUGUUUACUCUCUAGAGAUAUUGAAACAGAGAAUGUAUGUGUGAAAGUCUGGUCUCGGGGAACCCUGUUAAAGCUGGGGUGAGAGGCAGGUUUCUCAGCCAGAAGAGUGAGAUUAAGUGAAAAUCUGUACUUUCAACCCGAUCUUUUCAACCAUCUUUCCUGUCUUGGCUUCCAGAAUCCUGACAGCUGAGCUUACUGUCAUAAGCACCACCUCUGUUCACCAAGACAUUAAAAGACUUAGAGAAGCUGACCCAUCCAUGACUCCUAGAACGCUAGUUUAUUAACCACCAUCACAACCCCAGCAAUGGGAUUAUAACAUUCCUUUCUGGGGAAAUCGACCAGCCUGUGAAAAAAAUGUGCUCUUUGGAGUUUCCCUAUUCCCCUCAGGCUCUGAUGAGGUCCAACAGGAAACAGUUGAUACACACAGAAUUCCUAGUUGGCUGUUUUCACCCUCUGUUAAAUAUGAGCAGAAUUUUAAGUGUCUCCAGAUAUUUAUAGAAAGCCUUCUCCAUGAAAAACAAAGUCCUCAAAGAGAUAAGAUGUUUCAUCUAGGAAAUAAGAGCAGGAUGCUGUAUUAUUCAGGGAGUUCCCUGGUG
rnacentral:lncRNA from 1 species